rnacentral:rRNA from 1 species
GAACUUAGCAGAGAUGCUUUGGUGCCUUCGGGGAACUCUGAGACAGGUGCUGCAUGGCUGUCGUCAGCUCGUGUUGUGAAAUGUUGGGUUAAGUCCCGCAACGAGCGCAACCCUUAUCCUUUGUUGCCAGCGGUCCGGCCGGGAACUCAAAGGAGACUGCCAGUGAUAAACUGGAGGAAGGUGGGGAUGACGUCAAGUCAUCAUGGCCCUUACGAGUAGGGCUACACACGUGCUACAAUGGCGCAUACAAAGAGCAGCGACCUCGCGAGAGCAAGCGGACCUCAUAAAGUGCGUCGUAGUCCGGAUUGGAGUCUGCAACUCGACUCCAUGAAGUCGGAAUCGCUAGUAAUCGUGGAUCAGAAUGCCACGGUGAAUACGUUCCCGGGCCUUGUACACACCGCCCGUCACACCAUGGGAGUGGGUUGCAAAAGAAGUAGGUAGCUUAACCUUCGGGAGGGCGCUUACCACUUUGUGAUUCAUGACUGGGGUGAAGUCGUAACAAGGUAGGCGUAGUGCU